UCUGACCGCGACCCCAG
rnacentral:rRNA from 1 species